rnacentral:rRNA from 1 species
GACGAACGCUGGCGGCGUGCCUAAUACAUGCAAGUUGAACGCUUCUUUCUUAUCGAACUUCGGUUCACCAAGAAAGAGGAGUAGCGAACGGGUGAGUAACACGUGGGUAACCUGCCCAUCAGCGGGGGAUAACACUUGGAAACAGGUGCUAAUACCGCAUAAUGCUUUUUCUCACAUGAGAGAAAGCUGAAAGGCGCUUUUGCGUCACUGAUGGAUGGACCCGCGGUGCAUUAGCUAGUUGGUAGGGUAACGGCCUACCAAGGCAACGAUGCAUAGCCGACCUGAGAGGGUGAUCGGCCACACUGGGACUGAGACACGGCCCAGACUCCUACGGGAGGCAGCAGUAGGGAAUCUUCGGCAAUGGACGAAAGUCUGACCCGAGCAAACGCCGCGUGAGUGAAGAAAGGUUUUUCGGAUUCGUAAAAACUUCUG